UUGCCAGGGAACUACGAGCUAAGCUUAAAACCCAAAGGACUUGACGGUACCCCAUAUCCCCCUAGAGGAGCCUGUCCUAUAAUCGAUAAUCCACGAUUGACCUCACCAUUUUCUAGUUUAUCAGCUUGUAUACCUCCGUCGUCAGCUUACCACGUGAGCGCUUAACCUAGUGAGCUUAAUGUUAUUUCACCAACACGUCAGGUCAAGGUGCAGUAUAUGUAAUGGAAAGAGAUGGGCUACACUUUCUAUCCUAGAACACACGAAAAACUAAAUAUGAAAUCUAGUUGGAAGGCGGAUUUAGUAGUAAAAAGGAAUUAGAACGUCCAUUUUAACUCGGCACUGGGGUGUGUACACACCGCCGGUUCACCCUCA
rnacentral:rRNA from 1 species